GCAGUGGUGGUUCAGUGGUAGAAUUCUCACCUUCUAAGCAGGAGACCUAGGUUCGAUUCCCAGCCAAUGCA
rfam:Loxodonta africana unplaced genomic scaffold scaffold_4, whole genome shotgun sequence.